rnacentral:rRNA from 1 species
CCUACGGGAGGCUGCAGUGGGGAAUAUUGCACAAUGGGCGAAAGCCUGAUGCAGCAACGCCGCGUGAAGGAAGAAGGGUUUCGGCACGUAAACUUCUAUCAACAGUGACGAAAGAAAUGACGGUACAUGAAUAAGAACCCCCGGCUAACUACGUGCCAGCAGCCGAGGUAAUAAGUAGGGGGCAAGCGUUAUCCGGAAUUACUGGGUGUAAAGGGUGAGUAGGCGGCAUGGUAAGCCAGAUGUGAAAGCCUUGGGCUUAACCCGAGGAUUGCAUUUGGAACUAUCAAGCUAGAGUACAGGAGAGGAAAGCGGAAUUCCUAGUGUAGCGGUGAAAUGCGUAGAUAUUAGGAAGAACACCAGUGGCGAAGGCGGCUUUCUGGACUGAAACUGACGCUGAGGCACGAAAGCGUGGGGAGCGAACAGGAUUAGAUACCCCAGUAGUC